ACGAAAUCACAGGAAACGUCUAUGAUAAUUGUUGGACUGUCAGGGGAAACAGGUGCAAAUCCUGUGCGAGCCCGUCGCCGUAAGGCAUAAAGUAAAGCUGCCGAUCGAACCAAAUGCCACAAGUUGGGAGAGAAAAGUCAUUGGAUGAUGCAAUCAUCUGAGAAGGCUGAUCGGCGGGAUGCCAAGCCGGAAUAUCCGGACAGAUUCGUCCCCGUAU
rfam:Eubacterium plexicaudatum ASF492 genomic scaffold acLZb-supercont1.5, whole genome shotgun sequence.